rnacentral:tRNA from 1 species
GCCUUCAUGGUGAAAUGGGUAGACACGCAAGGUCGAGGGCCUUGUGCCUAUGGGUGUCCCGGUUCGAAUCCGGGUGAAGGCA